GGACUAACAGGCACACGUUGGAUAGAUCGAGGAAAGAAAUAAAAUAGAUAGAUGAAAAUAUAACUAUUGAAUCACUAUAGAAACAAUGUUAUAAUAGGAACUACAUGUUUUGAGAGAUAUGGACACAAAGUACACUCUCUACCACAGAAUGUGAUGUCAACGUUUUAAAGAAUUGCGAAAAUAAUUUUUACGAUCAUAAACAGAUUUCCAAUGAUAUGCUGUAAAUGAUGAAGAAAAUGAUGAAAUUGUUAAUCUACAGGUUUCUGAAUAUUCUUCAGAAUAAACAGGGAAUUGAUUAUCAAAGGAUUUUAAAAUUAGUAUAAGAAGAUAUGACUAUACAUGUUUUUAGGAAGAAGAAAAAUACAUGUAUUAAAUAAUUGUGUUAUAGCUUGAAAGUUAUUGAUGCUUAAUAUUUGAUCAGUCAUGGCCUAGAAGGAUAGUUACAUUAGUAUGGAACACUAAAAGGGCCCCGAUGUUAAACACUCCAAUUUUUUACGAAUACUUACAUUAAAUGUUCUUUGGGAAAAUGAAAACCUUUAAAUAUUCUGAAUCCAAUGUUGAAAAGUAUAAUAAAUAAUUUAUGCCAUUUACAGGUUUUUGACAGUCCAGAUGUAGUACUUUAGAGCGUAGAUUUGGAAAGACUAGGACAUCCUACGUUUACCGGUUUAUUUACCUGGUAAGUUAAAUCUUACUCGAGCCGAAGGCUUACUGAGUUUUUUUAUCGACAUUUGUCUGAUUUUUCUCAAUUUGGUCUUCUUUUCCAAUCCACUGGACAAACUACAAUCAAAGCAUGGAACAAUUCACCCCUGGGUGAGGGGUAAUCAAAUUCACUUGGAGGGCUAUAUCCUCAUUGAAUGGGAGAAACUUCAGGAGAAGUGAAAAAUGAGGGAUAAUUAAUGGCAUUUUUUAAAAAAUCUUCUUCUUAAGAAUAAUUGGGCCAGCAAAGAUAAAACUUGUUUGGAAUCAUCCUUGAGUUGUAAAGAUUCAAAUUUAAUUAAAUCAUAACCACUAAUAGGAAGGAUGGGGUUACAAUAGACGAGCAAAGUUUUACAUAGAAAUGUAUAGGAAAACUCUUUGAAUAUUUUAAGAACAACAAGGCCAUACAUGGUCAUAUUGAUACACAUAUAGAAGCUUCCUUAGAUUAUUUGGAUUCAAAAUUGUUCCAAUCAUAUCCUCAGGUUUUGGUUGUUGCCACAAUGGAUCAACAUGUUUUCUAUAUAAAUGCAUUAGUAAAAUUCAUAAGAACAGCAAAGCCAUGAUUAAUGUCACAAUUUGUGAUAAAUGGCAUGGAAAUAAAUCCUUGCUGCAACCAAUCUUUGAAAAAGAACAAAGAGUACGUGCAAACAAAAGUUCGUUAAAGUGCUCAAAACAAUAUAUACACACUCCGAACACGCACACACACACAACACUCACACAAAACCCAAAAAGAACCUAAACAAAAAAAAUAAUAAUAAACAAAAAAAAUAAUAAAUGUGUCUAUACACCGACUAAAAUAUUGUCAAACCCGACCAGACGAAUGUUUCCUUGACACCUACACAAAACCGUCGAUCUUGCUACAAAUGUGACCCCAAGACGUUACCGUAUUGUUCGUUCUGUUCGCAUAUACACACACUGACACAGUCGUUGGUUUAUGUUAUCGUUGUUACACAGUCCACAUCGUCCGUCAACGUCUUAGUACGUAGGAUUUCCUCCAACGCUGUAGUAACAUCAUCCUAUAACGUCACACGUACGUUACUUGUAUACACAGCUGAUCAAGCUGGUCGCCUAUAAUAACACAUUAUUUCAAAGUCUGGGUUUCCAUAGUCGGUAAUAACGCAUCAAUAAGAAA